ensembl:lncRNA
AGCUCUCCCACUAAUGUGCUUGCAGUCCCAGGAGCAAUAUUUACCCUCAUCAGGGCUUGGCUCUGUUCUGUCCCUGAGGGCUUGCAGAUGUGGCAGUCACCUGCACCUUCCCUGGCACUGGUGAUCAGGCUACCACCCAUAAUCCCAAGGCUGCAUGAGCUGACCCCAAACCAAUUUUGUUUGUGAAGAUGUGGAAAAGAAGGAGAUUUUGUUGUGUAAUGUUUGCAGUUGAGGUUCUGGGGAGGGGAAUAUGGUCUCUGUGUCAGAGGAUCUCAUCUCCUGCUUGGCUCUGUGCCGACUUGUCAGCUUCAGUGUCGCAGUCUCAGAAUCAUUUGGGUUGGAAGGGACCACUAAAGGCCACCUCGUCCAACUCUCUGCAAUGAACAGGGGCACCCAUGGCUCCAUCAGGUGCCCAGAGUCUCAUCCAGCCUGACUCCAAUGGCUCCAGGGAUGGGGCAUCCUCACAUCUCAAUGUGAAAUGUCAGUCUGACAAAUACAUGGGAGCCUGUCCACCAUUUACACAGCAGUGCUGGGCAGAGGACACAGCAUAUAUUACCCAAAAGUUCACUGGAAGACGGUGGAGGUGAUCAGGAAGGGAAGAAACUUCCGAUGCCUUGCGAGCCAAGCUGUAAAAAGGGAAAACAAGGGGAGUUGUCGCUGCUGGGAGCAGCGGGUGGCAACUGAAUGGGGCCGAGCUGGGGGCACCCACAGGCUGUGCUGCGGGGAGAAGCACUGGGCAGGGCGGUGGGUGCGGAGGGAGCAGCGCUUCCCAGUGCAUCUCACUAGAGGGUGCCCGCUCGCUGCGCUUGCUGCAGCACACGAGCCCCUGCCCAGACUCGGAGGUUUUGGGUUCCGUGCAUUCUUGCUGGCUCGUUCCGUCCCCUUUCGUGACCCGAAAUCGGUGCGGUGUCCUCUGCGCGAUGCGCUUGGGCCAGAGGUGCAGCACUGAGAGUUGGUGGUGCACAAGCAGCAAAUUGGGUUGAUUGUAGGCAGUUCGUUCUGUACGCAGGAAGCAUCCCUCGUCUUGGAUAGCGAUGAUGGCAGCCGCCCCCAGCCCUCCCUCUGGGGACACCGGGGGCUAUCCCCCAUGCCUUGGUGGCCUUAUGUGCCUCUCAUGCCCCCUUUCCCAUCAGUACACUGCAGGAGGGGAUGUCACAGGGAUGUUGCUCCCAUUGCUGGCUCUUGGUCCCAAGAAUCGUGAACAAACAUCUCCUGUGUGUUGUUGCUGUCCUCCCAAGAACAGGAGAUGUGCUCUCCUCUCUGGACUUUCUGCUUGCUUCUCUCAGAUCAUUGCUUUUCAGAUGAUAUCUGAAUUCCCCUCUUGAGCACUCACAUCCCCGUCAGACUGGGGCCCACAAUGGAGUUCACAAGGACAUUCUCCACCCCUCAAAAUCAUAUCCUCAAUGCACUCCUCAAUGAAAACAUUGGCCAGACCCAGAUCUGAGGCAAGCCUACAUAUAUGGGAGUGAGCUUUUGCCAACCACUUGGUAUGCUGUCUUUCAAUCACUUGCAUCCCUUCCUCCUUAGUUGAUCCUACAGACCGGAGUUAAUGUUUGUGCUCUCUGGACCCAAAGCAUGCAACAGCAAAUUCCCCAUUGUCCAUGGAUCUGCCCACGGACACUACUGUUACCAUCCUGGCAGGGUCUAGGGCAACUUUUCUGAAGGAACUGGUGUUCUUCCUGAAUGGAGAGCUCACCAUUGGAAAAAGCAAUCUCCUGCAUCUUCUCUCUUGCAUUUUUGUCCUUCCCUCCAACCCUACCAUUUUCUGAGGUUAUCGUAGAACAAGUAGAAGUCCAGCUCUUCAUUCUUGGCUCUGCAGAGUGCAAACUGUUGUGCGGCCGAGGCUUUGAAAUAAGUUAUUCUUAUUGUGAUUCUUGUUUAUAAC